rnacentral:rRNA from 1 species
UACGGAGGGUGCGAGCGUUGUCCGGAAUCAUUGGGCGUAAAGGGCGCGUAGGUGGCCACUUCAAGCGUGCGGUGAAAGUCGGGGGCUCAACCCCUGAUCGGCCGUGCGAACUGGGGGGCUGGAGCACUGUAGAGGCAGGCGGAAUUCCGGGUGUAGCGGUGGAAUGCGUAGAGAUCCGGAAGAACACCGGUGGCGAAGGCGGCCUGCUGGGCAGUUUUGCUGACACUGAGGCGCGACAGCGUGGGGAGCAAACAGGG